rnacentral:rRNA from 1 species
CCGCCCGUCACAUCACGAAAGUGGGUUGUACUAGAAGUCGCCGCGCAAACCGCAAGGAUGCAAGCGCCCAAGGUAUGACUCAUGAUUGGGGUG